CUUAAUUCCACCAUCUCAUCAUAUCUUGUUUUUUCUUUGACUUUCAGCAACACAGGCUCCAAAAAAUUGGCAAAUCAGUUCGGUCAACAAUCCAAUUAUAUGCCUCAUCGAAUUUCUUACACCGCCAAAUCCGACUCUCGUAAGCAAGCUCGUGGGGCUUAAACUUUGCGACGUGUAUGCCAUGAAGGAAGCGUUGGAGUUCGACAGCCAAGGCGAAAUAACCCUGGCCGGCCACACGGGCACAUCAGCCGUGGACACAUUCCUAACCGCGUCCUACGGUACCCACUCUGGUGUUCUAAAUGCCCACCAAGGAGCUAUCCGCGUGACUGCGUACUGUCCUGAUCAAGGUCUCAUCGAU